ACAACGGCCAUCCCUGUGGCUGGGCCGCCGGCUACGCAAUGCUGUCUCUCUUGCUGAUCCUCUCAGGCCUGGGCCGGCUGACCUCCGCGGGCCCACGCCACUUAUUCCAUCAAAAUUGAGGGGAAACCAUACACUUCCUGCUUGAAAAACAGUCAUUUUUACACCCACAUUUCCUGGUGUAUUUAUACAACAAAUCAGGAACAUUGUAUGCAGAUUCUUCAUUUUCAAAGGGUCAUUGCUUUUACCAAGGAUAUGCUGCAGACAUUCCAAAAUCAGUUGUGGCACUACGCACCUGUUCUGGACUCAGAGGAUUACUGCAGUUAGAUAAUAUCAGUUAUGGUAUUGAACCAUUGGAAUCUUCACCUACAUAUAAGCAUGUAGUUUAUCGAAUUAAAAAUGAUGCUAUUGGUCAUUCCUCCUUUCAAGAAAAUUAUCCUGUGGCUCAAUAUAUAGAUCAGUCCUACAGGAUUCUUGUCAAAUCAGACAUAAAUUCAGGUGCCAUGCUAUCGAAAAGAACUCUGAAAAUACAAAUCAUUAUGGAUAAAGCCAUGUAUGCUUAUAUGGGCUCCACGGUGGCAGUUGCAGUUGAGAAAGUUUUCCAAAUCUUUGGUCUUAUCAACACUAUGUUUUCCCAGCUUAAUAUGACAGUUAUGCUGUCUUCCUUGGAGAUCUGGUCAGAUCAAAAUAAGAUUUCAACAAGUGGUCAUGCUGAUGAAAUACUACAGCGAUUUUUGCCUUGGAAACAAAAAUUUUUGUUUCAAAGGUCUCAUGAUAUGACAUACUUAUUAAUUUAUAGGAACCAUUCUACUUAUGUGGGAGCAACAUAUCACGGAAUGGCAUGCGAUCCAAAGUUUGCAACAGGAAUUGCUCUGUAUCCAAAGAAAAUCACUGCAGAGGCCUUUUCAGUUGUUAUGGCACAGUUGCUUGGAAUUAAUCUGGGAUUGACAUAUGAUGAUAUCUACAAUUGUUACUGUCCAGGAACUACAUGCAUAAUGAAUCCUGAUGCGAUAUGAUCCCAUGGUAUGAAGUUUUUUAGCAGUUGCAGCAUGGAUGGAUUUAAACGGAUAGUUCUGCAGCCUGAACUUAAAUGUUUUCAGGAUAAAACAGUUUCAAAAAUGACUUACCGAAAAUCUUCAACUUGUGGCAAUGGAAUUUUGGAACCUACAGAGCAGUGUGAUUGUGGCUAUAAAGAGAGACAGGAUUUCACCAUGUUGGCCAGGCUAGUCUCAAACUUCGGACCUCAGGUUAUCCACCUGCCUCAGCCUCUCAAGGUGCUGGGAUUACAAACGCAUGCACUCAUAAAAAAUGCUGUAAUCCUGCAGAUUGUACUCUAGUUAGAUCUGCAGAAUGUGGCACUGGAUCAUGCUGUAACAAUAAAACUUGUACGAUCCACGAAAGAGGCCAUGUCUGCAGAAAAAGUGUAGAUAUGUGUGAUUUUCCAGAAUAUUGCAAUGGAACAUCUGAGUUUUGUGUACCUGAUGUGAAAGCUGCUGAUUUAGAAUACUGCAGUAAUAAGACUAGCUAUUGCUUUAAAGGAGUAUGCAGAGAAAGGGAUAGACAGUGUUCACAGUUAUUUGGAAAAUUUGCUAAGUCUGCUAAUCUUCUGUGUACAGAAGAAGUGAAUUUUCAAAAUGACAAAUUUGGAAACUGUGGUUCCCGUUGUGAUUUUUUUGAUAUCCUUUGUGGAAAGAUUGUUUGUCACUGGAUACAUUCAGAACUAGUACCAAUGACAGACUUAGACAUACAAUAUACUUACCUUAGAGGUCACGUAUGUUUGUCCGCACAUGCAAGAAAUGGUUCAAAACAAUCGGAGACCUAUACAGAAGAUAUAACUGCAUGUGGCCAACACAAGGUAUGUCACUCCCGAGAAUGCAGAAAUUUUAGUGAACUAAAUAUAACAAAAUAUACUACAAAUUGUGGACAGAAUGGGAUUUGCAAUGAACAUUUCCAUUGUCAAUGUGAUCCUGGUUAUGCUCCUCCAGAUUGUGAGCCAGCAAUGUCAUCACCAGGAGGAAGUAUCAAUGAUGGAUUUUGGCUUACAGUAGAAAAAAGUGUACCCUUGCUUCCAAAACGACGUGCUGCUCCUAAAAACAAUGGUCUUUUGAUCAGUUUCUACAUUUUUUCACCUUUGCUCAUUUUAAUUGCUAUUGUUAGUCUUAAAUGGAAUAAAAUGAAGAGAUUUCGGAGCAAAGUGGGAACAGUAAGCAGCAGAUCUAUCUCAGAAGACAGCGGUAGUAACAGCAGCCAGUCACAGAGUUAAAGUAACCAAGUGAUAAAAUCAAAGCCAUCGGAUGAAGAAAGGAUAUUACCAAGAAACUCACCAUUAACUUAAAACUUUCAACUUCACAGAAAAAAAUAAAUCAUAUGACUAAAAGCAUA
ensembl:lncRNA ADAM3A ADAM metallopeptidase domain 3A (pseudogene)